AUUGAACGCUGGCGGCAGGCCUAACACAUGCAAGUCGCACGAGUGGCGGACGGGUGAGUACUGUCUGGGAAACUGCCUGAUGGAGGGGGAUAACUACUGGAAACGGUAGCUAAUACCGCAUACCAUCAGAUGUGCCCAGAUGGGAUUAGCUAGUUGGUGGUGUAACGGCUCACCCAGGCGACGCUCCCUAGCUGGUCUGAGAGGAUGACCAGCCACACUAGAACGUGGACACGGUCCAGCAUCCAGCGGGAGGCAGCAGUGGGGAAUAUUGAACAGUGGGCGCAAGCCUGAUGCAGCCAAGCCGCGUGUAUGAAGAAGGCCUUCGGGUUGUAAAGUACUUUCAGCGGGGAGGCGUUACCCGCAGAAGAAGCACCGGCUAACUCCGUGCCAGCCGCCGCGGUAAUAC
rnacentral:rRNA from 1 species